CUGAGAUCAGCCGUGUCAUCCAGGACGCUGACGGCUCCCAGAGCUUCCAGUUCACGUACAAAGAGGAGCUGCUGGGGUACAUGCUGGACUUCAUAAAAGAGGAACCGAUGGAUUCCCUGGCCUCUCCUGUUCGCCUCACGGCCAUGCUUGCCAUUAAGCACCUGAGCAAGGUGAAACCCUCCCUGAAUCGGGAUUCAAACAGAAGCCUGCUUGAAACCUGCCUCAGGUGCCUGGUACCUCUCCCAGCUGUGCAGCACCUGACACAGGAGGGGGAGACAGCUCAGGACUCGUUGC